GACGAACCACACAACCGUUAUUCGGAAUUACUGGGCUUAAAGGGUGCGUAGGCUGCGCAGAAAGUUGGGUGUGAAAUGCCUCGGCUCAACCGAGGAACUGCGCCCAAAACUACUGUGCUUGAGGGGGAUAGAGGUGAGCGGAACUUAGGGUGGAGCGGUGAAAUGCGUUGAUAUCCUAAGGAACACCCGUGGCGAAAGCGGCUCACUGGAUCUCUUCUGACGCUGAGGCACGAAAGCUAGGGUAGCGAACGGG
rnacentral:rRNA from 1 species